CACGUAGGGUGCAAGCGUUGUCCGGAUUUAUUGGGCGUAAAGAGCGUGUAGGCGGCCAGGUAGGUCUGCUGUGAAAACUCGAGGCUCAACCUCGAGACGUCGGCGGAAACCAUCUGGCUAGAGUCCGGAAGAGGAGAGUGGAAUUCCUGGUGUAGCGGUGAAAUGCGCAGAUAUCAGGAAGAACACCCGUGGCGAAGGCGGCUCUCUGGGACGGUACUGACGCUGAGACGCGAAAGCGUGGGGAGCGAACAGG
rnacentral:rRNA from 1 species